GAGAAAGAGGCAGCAAGGACCCGCAGCGGGGGCCAGGAGGGGCCCAUCAGUACCAGGACCCAGUGGGGCUCCAGGGUGCCCCGUGAGGAGGGGGCAGCACUGGAUCAACCACACCAGGCCCUUCAAAACCCAAAUACCACUGAGGAAGGGGGCACAUGAAAAGUGUGGUCAGUACUCCACUGGAAAAGAAAAUUUCAGGGUGCUCCCCCACACUCUACCCCAAAGCCAGACUUUGUUUCUCUUCCUAGGACUUCUCACCACCAGAAAGCUUAUUGUACCUUGUACAUGGGUCUCACCCCACCCUGCACCUCUGCCAACAAAAGGAGAGGAGUGGGCAGUAGCAGAGGAAGGAAUACCGACCCCUCCCCAAGACACGGACUCUCACCCCAGCUCUGGAUCUGAGUCAUGGACAAGCUGUGCUGCUCCAGGACUGGGGCCUCCUGCUCUAGCUGGUUCCCCGGGCCCCCACGCCCUUGGCGUCCCGUAGCUGAGUCUCUUUGCAGAGCCAACAUGAGUGGGGCUGGCCCUGCUCCCCGACUUUCAAGAGCACCCUUGCAAGCUGGGUGUCCUGUGAGCCGGCUCUUGCCCUCACCACUCUGCAAGAUCUUUUUAGACAGAAUAUUGAUCCGCGACUGGCCAGACUCCAAUUUCACAGCUGAGUGUCUCUCUCCCCACCGCCCCCCCGCCCCAGCCCUGCCUGCUUCUCUGCUAAGUAGUUAA